AUAAUAACAGUGUGUGUGUGUGUGUGUGUGUGUGUGUGUGUGUGUGUGUGUGGGAGAUGGGGGGGUUCACAAGGUGGAGACAGCCAGCUGUGCCCUCAGAGGUGGGCCACAGUGAGUCGAUCCAGUUCAGGAUGUCGUCUGAGACUCGAGAGGCGUUCAGGAGUUCAUCGCUUCGUCGUUGAGGCGCCAAACGGCUUCACUCACUCUUGUAUUUAUUCUCAUUCUCUCACCAAACAGGAAGCAUGCAUGAAGCAGCAGGAAGUGACAGAAGCGACUCCUGGAGGAGGAGACGGGCUUCAUCAUCGCAGGUCAGAGCAUCAGAACAUCAGAACAUCAGAAGAUCGGAACGCUCCCUGAAAACUCAGCCUCACUGUAAAUACACACUUUAACAUCCUCCAACAACACAAAGCAGCUGUUGCAUCAUGUGACACAGACAUUAUGUGGAGCCGGUCAAACAAAACAAGAAGACAUCUUUAUAAACACAUCUUGAUAUAAUAAUCUGUGUGGAAAGUGACUUCUGGUGUUUAUUCCUCCAGGAGCUCGGGUUCUGUCCACAGAACGACGUAUUGAUUGUCUGAUAUUUGCAUUUAAAAGGCAUCAACACCACGAACACGGCAGAGAGGAGAAGAUCAGUGUGUUCAUGUGCUGUAAACAUGUUUCUGACUCUGUAACGUAGACUCUCUUCUGGAGGCUGAGUGGCCGUCGGAGGAGCUGCAGUUCUGGGUAGUUCAGCUUCAUGUCUCAGCCCGGACUGUCCCAUCCCAGCCACCGUACCUCCGCCUGCAGACGCUGCUGUGUGCCUUGGCUGUCAGUCAACCGGCUUCAAACACUGGCAGUGUCGUCACACGGCCGGGUUAGAUUCCUCACAGGCUGUCAGACGGCCUCUUGAGAAACACAAAAUGUAAACUCUGAUAACAGACUGUCAGUAUUUUAAUAGACGUGCUCCGACAUGCUUGACAGGUCCGCGGAGAUAAACGCCUUCCCGACUCUGCGCCGCCAUCUGUCAGAGACGGCAGCUUCAGUGAUCCACAGGAGGCAGUCGUCUCUGAGGUCCUCGUGCUAAUCUCUCCUUUAAAAACUCUUCACGCCUUUCAGUCUGACGCUCGGUGACGUUAUCAGUGCAGGAAUCAUCUGUCGGCGUCAAACUCUCAGCGAUCCGUCCCGACGCUUGGCUGACAUGUGAUGCUGUGUUACCAUGACAACCCCGGGGGUCAGAUCGGGCCCACGUCUCGCCGUCCUCGCUCCCAUCAAAACAAAACAAAUAAUAAUACAAUCAAUGAGGUCAGAGUCUGCAGACACGCUCGCUCAGAGCCACGAGGCCGUAACUCGAGCUAACAUGUAGGACGACAUCAUCUUCAGAUCAGAGCUCAGUGGAUCAGAAACACAAACUUAUAACUGAGCAACACACAC